rnacentral:rRNA from 1 species
GCUAGUUGGUAGGUAUGGCCUACCAAGGCGACGAUCAGUAGUUGGUCUGAGAGGACGACCAGCCACACUGGGACUGAGANACGGCCCAGACUCCUACGGGAGGCAGCAGUGGGGAAUUUUGGACAAUGGGCGCAAGCCUGAUCCAGCAAUGCCGCGUGAGUGAAGAAGGCCUUCGGGUUGUAAAGCUCUUUCAGUUGAGAAGAAAAAAUUGUGACUAAUAAUUGCAAUUCAUGACGGUAUCGACAGAAGAAGCACCGGCUAACUACGUGCCAGCAGCCGCGGUAAUACGUAGGGUGCGAGCGUUAAUCGGAAUUACUGGGCGUAAAGGGUGCGCAGGCGGUUCUGUAAGUCAAAUGUGAAAUCCCCGGGCUUAACCUGGGAACUGCGUUUGAAACUACAAAGCUAGA